CCACAUACAGAAGAAUGACCUUUGUAACCUGGUGAUUUCUAGAAGUCUCAUCAGUCAUGUUUGCUCCAUCUGAACUUGACUGUUGCCUUUAAGAUGCCAGGGAGUUCUGCCUAAGAUUCACAAGCAUCUUCACACUCCACUCCCGCCCCCACCUCUUCUACAGUCUCAGUGACACACCCACAUGGUGGCUUGUGAAUCCCACAUGCUUUCUGUGGGGGUGAGUGCUGGCAAAUGAUUUAAAUAGGCUUUAGCUUCUGAUGGAUGAACUGCUUCUUUGUGGUCCGAAGCCUGCAAGAAAAGCCAGCAGAGGCUGCAAUCCAUGUUCCCCACCUUGCUGACAAGGGGAUGGGGUGGCUUUCCAGUGAGACUUGUCUGAGGGACCACACGAAAAUGCCACACUGCAAAGCUGACAUGAAGCACACAGGCACAUGACCGACACCAGAGAGUGAAGAAUGGUGGUGAUGAGAUGUGACCUGCCUGAAAUGAGAUGACUGGUGAGUGACAGCAUGGGGAUUUGAAUUCAUGGCCAGAGUUGUGAGACAAAAGAACAUCCUUUGGUCUAACACUUGACGGUUUCUGAAGCUGGCCCAUAAAGGAGCAUAUCAACAAGAUGGAUGAUGGCUACUGUGGCCAGAUGUGGCCUGUGCACGUUCCAGAGAUUCUCAACUGCUGUGCACACAGUGCAUGUUUCCAUGAAGGAACACACUCAAGAGAGCUACAAAUAA